rnacentral:lncRNA from 1 species
AGUAAAGAGAAAUCACCAUGUGAUCCUAGGAAGAGAAAGGACUUGUUAGGCCAGUGUCCUCGCACUGUUAUCCUCUGGGCCUUCAACCAGUAGCUGAUGGAAGCAGAAGCAGACACCCACAGCUAAACACUGAGCUGAACUCCUGGAAUCCAGUUGCAGAGAGGGAGGAGUGAUGAGCAAAGGGGUCAAGACCAGGCUGGAGAAACCCACAGAAACGUCUGAUCUGAACUAGGGGGAGCUCACGGACCCCAGACUGAUAGCUGGGAAACCAGCAUAGGACGGACCCAGACCCCCUGAUUGUGGGUGUCACUGAGGAGUCCUGGGCAUCAGAAAAAGGAUGGGAUAAGGGCUUGGUGGGGGGCAGGGGAGGAGGUGAGGGAGAGGGAACUGGGAUUGACAUGUAAAACAAGCUUGUUUUUAAUUUAAAUAAAAAAGGAAAAAAAUAGAGUUGA